CCUACGGGGAGCAGCAGUGAGGAAUAUUGGUCAAUGGACGGAAGUCUGAACCAGCCAUGCCGCGUGCAGGAAGACGGCUCUAUGAGUUGUAAACUGCUUUUGUACAAGGGUAAACCUGAAUACGUGUAUUCGGCUGAAAGUACUGUACGAAUAAGGAUCGGCUAACUCCGUGCCAGCAGCCGCGGUAAUACGGAGGAUCCAAGCGUUAUCCGGAUUUAUUGGGUUUAAAGGGUGCGUAGGCGGAUUGAUAAGUUAGAGGUGAAAUGUCCGAGCUUAACUCGGGAACUGCCUCUAAUACUGUUGAUCUAGAGAGUAGAUGCGGUAGGCGGAAUGUAUGGUGUAGCGGUGAAAUGCUUAGAGAUCAUACAGAACACCGAUUGCGAAGGCAACUUACCAAUCUAUAUCUGACGUUGAGGCACGAAAGCGUGGGGAGCAAACAGGAUUAGAUACCCCAGUAGUC
rnacentral:rRNA from 1 species